UAUUCUGCCAACCAUCCAAUACGGCAACUCUUUCGUCGUCCCUGUCUCCUGUUCCGCCCGCGCCAAUAUGGGCCGCGCUAACUUGGGCCGCGACAACCUGAGGAUGGGAAAUCCGUCCGCUCCACAGACAACGACCGCACCGGGCUAAUCAGCUCCUAAUCACUUCCCUCGACAUGCCCUCCGCCGUCGCCGCCGCCGCCCUGCCCUCCGCCGAGAUGCAUGCCACCACACGACCGUUCCUGGGAUGACGCACUUCAGGUCACCACGCGGACCAAGACUGCCGCGCCGCACUACUCUCCUCCUGGUUCCUCCAUCCGCAAACUCUAUCCAGAUCUGUCCCCGGAUGGAAUUCGCGUUGUUCGUUGAUGGCUCCUGCGUUGCCGAUCUGCGGAACAGCCGCCGACGCCUAAUCUGUGAGUCCCUCCCGGCGCCGUCUGCCAGAGAAGCCAAAGGGAGGAAUCGCGUCUCACAGAAAUGAUGGCCGUCCUCCAACAGGUUCGGCGCCUGAAGUAUGAACGACCAUGCGCACCUGGGGAAAGGACCCGUAUUUGUUGGAAUCCAUGAGGUACUCAGCAUGAUUAUACUGCUCCACAUUGGCUGGCAAUAACCCUUGAUUUAGUCUUCAUUUGUAUUCUGGUUAUGAGGUUUAUAAACUUCACGCGCCAAUUUCCAAUGGUUAGUUGUGUGUGAGUUGGUGCAUUGACUGCAAUACCCCAAAGUCCAUGUUCUUGCUCCUACUUGUCAUCUAUUCUGUAGAUUAUCUUUCUUUCUGUUCUUUUCUCUUAUAUUGAACAGAGAUUCUCUGAAGGAAAAGUGAGAAAGCCAUUUUAAUUAAGCAUUGGCCAGAUUAUUGAUAUAUUAAACCACAAAUCGGUACAAAGCUUCCUAUUUGGAUUUUGUUCUAGAUACUCUUUGGUUCAGUUGAGAGAUUAAACCCCAAAUUUGUUUAUGAAUAGUUACAUAUUAAUCGUCUACUUCAGUUUUGCAGCAUAGAUUAUUUGUUGGAGUACAAGAAGGGGAUAUUAUCAUUAAUGAAUGAUCCAUCCCCAAUUUAAUCCUAUUUGGCACAAAUAUGUAUUUCUGUUUUAUAUUGUUACCAUACGAGAUAUUUGAUAUGGAGAUAUUAUUUUGCUAUAUAUAUAGAAGUAUAUUUAUACUAACAUAUACCAUAUAUAUAAUGUGAGCUGGAUCACUAAUAUUUUCAGAACAACUCGAUGCUAGCAAAAUAUAAUAUGAAAGGCAAACAGUUAUUUCUUUUCUUUCUAUAUCCCACCUUAAAAGGGGUUUACACAAAGGUAUGUCUUUCCAUAAGAAGUCUCUGAUAUUAACUUCAAAAUUUCAUUUCCUUUUCUCUGCUACAUGACAUAACAAUAGGGUGUUGGAAUCAGAUCGUCAACGCAGAUUGCAAUGUUUGCUGUAUGCUUUUGAUAUGUCUCCCAUCCAGUAUUCUUACUCUGAUAUUUAUUUAUUCAUUUGUUUAUUUCCAGGUUGCGGACGUCAUUUCUUCGUCGAUUACCAAGUGAUGGUGUAUUGUUGAACUUGAGUUUGAUUCUCAGAAAAAAAAACCGGAGACAAUGCUUCUUUCCUCAAGAAUUUAAGGAGACACAAUACUCAAUAUUACUACCGUGACCUCCAUCGAUGAAAUUAUCAGGAAUGUAUUGUGGAGAGUACAGGGGAUGGGCAGCGCUAACAAGCCUACACAGCGAGGCGAGCUAGGUACCUACUUCUUUGCGAUGCUUGGUGGAGAGGUGGUGACGCCACGGGGUUGCAUCCUCGCGGCAACGGCAACGUAAGUUUUGGAAAGAUGGGCAUCUCCUUUAAAGAACGCUAUGGUAUUACUUUUUCUAUCUGUAUGAAUAAGUCGAGUUCUGCACGCAAAUCAGCAAAUGGCUCCCAUAUGCUAAAUCACACACAAAUUAUGGUAAAUCUGCAACAUUGUGAUUCACUGGUCAUUGUCUUGGAAGUUUGGAAUUGCUUGUGAAUCAUAUGUUAUUGAUGAAAGGAGAUGUACUACUACAUCAUUGUUGUUGUGAAUUAUCGGUGACGGUGGCCACUUACUCUAUCAUCUUGGGUUGCCAAAAAUAAAUGUGCAUCUAGGUAAACAAGACGUGCGUUGCACGUGCACACUAAAUGGUUGUUUUCUCUCGCAUGGAUCAACGCCUGGGUUGUCGACCCCAUGAUGCCGGUGAUCUGAGGUGGCGCUGAGCCGAAGCAGCUGGCCUUCUCCGCCGCGCUCAGCCUCACCGUCAACAAAUCAUCCCGAUCUGCGGUAUGGGGUGCUGUCGAUUGUGUCUCCAUGAUGCAAACAGACAACUAGCAGCAGCAGAAGCGGAGGGCGAGGCAGACCCAGAUGGCAACAAUUCCCGUCAGAGAACGCUCAAGGGAGAGUUCGCUGGCAGCGGCAAACUCCUCGGCGCUCUGGUAGCUGCAUCGUCAUCGUGAAGAGAGCUGAAGCAGCAGAGAAUCAACGUGAAUAGGAUGCUGACGAUUAACCAAAUGGAGCUGAUGGCCCGAUGCAGGCCCUCAGGCAUGCGUCGCGUCCAGUCAAAGUGCCGCCGAUGAUUUAUUACAACCUAUCUGGAUGCAUUAGUUCUUCUUUUAUUAUGAAUGACCUACAUGUCUUUGACUUCAAUUCUAGGCAUGCUGUAGCUAUCUAUGUUUUGGCCAGCAGAUUCCCGUCGAUAAGGCCGCUAGAGGCGGGCGGCAUGUUUUGUUUUCCUUCCAGUACUAUGAGCAGGUAUAAAGACACUGAUGCUGUCAAUGGCAGUGGUAGCUUCUCAAGGCCGCUUGUUUGGGUCAUACUACAAGGAGACAGUUAGCAGCAACUCCCAGUGAGUUUUAUGGGAGCGUAUUUUUAAUUAUCACGGUAGGCUGAUGCCAGAAGCUAAUGCUGAAAGGAUCAACCUUGUUCUUUGAAUGGACUUGGUUGUCUCGACAUGAGCAUGAGCACCAAAGGCCGAUCAGCCGGGUGUGUUUGAGUUAUUUUUCACAUCAGACACUUGUGUAGUGCUAAUGUGCUAUCUGCUAUUGGUCAAGGUCAGGGAGGGUUGAGCUAAACUGCCAUAUUUUCUUCGUUUGGCUGCUGCACAUGAGAGCAGAGAGGAUUGACAUGAACAGAACAGAGGCCCGCGGAUCCGGAGGUCACCAAAAUUGUGAAGUUGCAACCAAAUUGAUUGGCUACACUGAAGGUGCUGCUGCUACUGCUACUUUGUUUUAUUCCUUCGCUAGCUGAAUUCACAGGCAAUCCAAUGGAUUGCAAUGAUUCGAAUCACCGGUCAAGAAAAGAGGUACACAGGAAAGUACAUGUGGCUAUUUUCGGCGGGGGCAUCAAUGUAGGUUAUGAGCUUGCCAUGGUCAUCUACGGGAAGAAGAAGGCCGCAGACAAUGAGUCCCCCGAAAUGACCUACUGGAACAUGCAAGACUGCACAAGUACAUGAGGAUCAUUGGACCCAACAAGAAGAUUAACCAAGGCAUUUCAAACACGAGGCCGAAAUCGUAUGGACGAAGAGUUCCGUUGAAUCUGGCAGACUGGCGAUAUGACAACAACAACAAAAUGGAGAGGAGAAAGAAUGUGAUACUGGCCACUUGUGCUGCAACCCCAAAGCAUACAUGAGGAGAAAAAUUGGAGGAUUCUUGGAGUGGAAACGUCCCCAAUUUGAGAAUGUCCAUAGCUAUGGCUUGGUCAACGACUCCAUGCUGGAUCCCUCUGCCCCCAUGCAAAGGAACCGCAUGUGUUUGACAUCAUCUGCUCAAGGUCCUAUCAUCUUGGGUUGAAUGCUGGUAGAUCUUUUCUAUCAGAGAAGCACACUUUUUUUUUCUAUAUUUUGGUUCAAAUUUGUUUCUGAACUUAAUUAUUUUUGUUUUUCUGGAAAUGUGUUCAGUAAGUUAGACAAAAGGAGUAGCCACUGAGAAGCACUAUAUCUUCUCUAGAACAACAUUAGCUUGUCCUGUUUGCAGAUAAUUUUAUGGAUUGAUCUCUAUAGAUAAUGCUAGGAAGGGAAGAAAUACCAUACCUUUGUUGUAGAUUGUGCAAUAGCUUGUACUGUGGCUUGCCUGGCAAAACCGAGUGUGGACAUCUGAUAUUGCAAUAGCUUGUACCAUGGCUUGCCGGUGUUCUC